GUUGUUGGGUAGGGGAGCGUUCUGUAAGCCUGUGAAGGUGUGCUGUGAGGCAUGCUGGAGGUAUCAGAAGUGCGAAUGCUGACAUAAGUAACGAUAAAGCGGGUGAAAAGCCCGCUCGCCGGAAGACCAAGGGUUCCUGUCCAACGUUAAUCGGGGCAGGGUGAGUCGACCCCUAAGGCGAGGCCGAAAGGCGUAGUCGAUGGGAAACAGGUUAAUAUUCCUGUACUUGGUGUUACUGCGAAGGGGGGACGGAGAAGGCUAUGUUGGCCGGGCGACGGUUGUCCCGGUUUAAGCGUGUAGGCUGGUUUUCCAGGCAAAUCCGGAAAAUCAAGGCUGAGGCGUGAUGACGAGGCACUACGGUGCUGAAGCAACAAAUGCCCUGCUUCCAGGAAAAGCCUCUAAGCAUCAGGUAACAUCAAAUCGUACCCCAAACCGACACAGGUGGUCAGGUAGAGAAUACCAAGGCGCUUGAGAGAACUCGGGUGAAGGAACUAGGCAAAAUGGUGCCGUAACUUCGGGAGAAGGCACGCUGAUAUGUAGGUGAAGUCCCUCGCGGAUGGAGCUGAAAUCAGUCGAAGAUACCAGCUGGCUGCAACUGUUUAUUAAAAACACAGCACUGUGCAAACACGAAAGUGGACGUAUACGGUGUGACGCCUGCCCGGUGCCGGAAGGUUAAUUGAUGGGGUCAGCGCAAGCGAAGCUCUUGAUCGAAGCCCCGGUAAACGGCGGCCGUAACUAUAACGGUCCUAAGGUAGCGAAAUUCCUUGUCGGGUAAGUUCCGACCUGCACGAAUGGCGUAAUGAUGGCCAGGCUGUCUCCACCCGAGACUCAGUGAAAUUGAACUCGCUGUGAAGAUGCAGUGUACCCGCGGCAAGACGGAAAGACCCCGUGAACCUUUACUAUAGCUUGACACUGAACAUUGAGCCUUGAUGUGUAGGAUAGGUGGGAGGCUUUGAAGUGUGGACGCCAGUCUGCAUGGAGCCGACCUUGAAAUACCACCCUUUAAUGUUUGAUGUUCUAACGUGGACCCGUGAUCCGGGUUGCGGACAGUGUCUGGUGGGUAGUUUGACUGGGGCGGUCUCCUCCUAAAGAGUAACGGAGGAGCACGAAGGUUGGCUAAUCCUGGUCGGACAUCAGGAGGUUAGUGCAAUGGCAUAAGCCAGCUUGACUGCGAGCGUGACGGCGCGAGCAGGUGCGAAAGCAGGUCAUAGUGAUCCGGUGGUUCUGAAUGGAAGGGCCAUCGCUCAACGGAUAAAAGGUACUCCGGGGAUAACAGGCUGAUACCGCCCAAGAGUUCAUAUCGACGGCGGUGUUUGGCACCUCGAUGUCGGCUCAUCACAUCCUGGGGCUGAAGUAGGUCCCAAGGGUAUGGCUGUUCGCCAUUUAAAGUGGUACGCGAGCUGGGUUUAGAACGUCGUGAGACAGUUCGGUCCCUAUCUGCCGUGGGCGCUGGAGAACUGAGGGGGGCUGCUCCUAGUACGAGAGGACCGGAGUGGACGCAUCACUGGUGUUCGGGUUGUCAUGCCAAUGGCACUGCCCGGUAGCUAAAUGCGGAAGAGAUAAGUGCUGAAAGCAUCUAAGCACGAAACUUGCCCCGAGAUGAGUUCUCCCUGACCCUUUAAGGGUCCUGAAGGAACGUUGAAGACGACGACGUUGAUAGGCCGGGUGUGUAAGCGCAGCGAUGCGUUGAGCUAACCGGUACUAAUGAACCGUGAGGCUUAACCUU
rnacentral:rRNA from 2 species